CUGGGGGGGAGGGGAGUUCCAAAUCCUAACAGUAUGUAAGAAGAGAUCACAUUAUAACAAAAUUGAAAUGAAUGAAUCAAAUUAUUUAAAUUGGAGAUGAAAGUGACACUUCACUUAACAUAGUAUAUCCUAAAAAGUCAUAGAAUGGCCUCAACUGCAAUUUUUGUUUGACAAUGUGUAGGUCCACUAGCUUUCAACAUAACAGAGUAUGAGGGAGGUACGCCCACAUUGGAAUAUUACCCAUACUCAUGGACUCAGACUUCAAGCAUACUAUUUCUUGAUGCGCCAGUGGGCACAGGUUUCUCUUACGCUACAAAUUUGAGUGCAUAUUCUACCUCCGACACGAAAUCAGCUUCAUAGACAUAUGCCUUCCUUGUUAAGUGGCUGAUUGAUCACCCAAAAUACCUCAAAAAUCAGUUGUUCAUUGGGGCUGAUUCUUAUUCAGGCAUAACUGCUCCAAUAGUAGUUCAACAUAUAUUAGAGGGAAAUGCUGUUGGGGAGAGGCCACGCUUGAAUCUCAAAGGCUAUAUUCUUGGGUGCCCGCGAACAGAUGUAAUUAUUAAUGAAAAUUCAAAAAUAUCAUACUCUCACCGGAUGGGACUUAUAUCUGAUAAACUUUAUGAGGUGA